GCUCCAUGUGAAGGUGAAGGUAGAAAGUGUGUGUGAGCUGAAUUGAGCAGCAUGGAUCAGUGUGAGGACAGAGAGGAGGGAGUCCCUCCCUCUAAAAGCACUCUGUGUGGGGAACAUGAGAGCCAGACCAAAGCUCAGAGGAACCAACCUGGACCUCCACCCAGCUUAAAGAACGACGAGUUAAAGGACAUUGGGUCCUCUCCUGCAGAGAGGUAAUGUGUGUCUAAAUAUUGUUGUGACUCAGUGUUUGUGAAUAAAUCCUCCAUCAUGUUUAAUGUCAGCUCUUUUUCUCACAUAUUUCUAUGUUCAUAUGUGAAGCG
rnacentral:lncRNA from 1 species